rnacentral:tRNA from 1 species
GCGGGUAUAAUGUAGUGGUAACAUAUGACCCCUCCAAGGUCAGAUGGCGAGUUCAAAUCUCGUUGCCCGCUCCA